rnacentral:rRNA from 1 species
AAACAUCUCUGGGAGAAGAUGUUUUUAGUAUAACCUGCUCAAUGCAGUAAAUAGCUGCAGUAUUAUGACUGUACAAAGGUAGCAUAAUCAUUAGUCUUUUAAUUGAAGGCUUGUAUGAAUGGUUGAACAGAAUAUUCUUAAGCUUAGGUGAAUUUUAUUUUUAUGUAAAAAUACAUAAUUAAAUAAAAGGGACGAUAAGACCCUAUAGAAUUUAAAAUUUCGGGAUUUUGUUGGGGUGACGGAAGUAACUUUCUUAUUAUGUAGGUAAUUGCUGAUCCUAAAGAAAAAAGAUAUAAUUACCUUAGGGAUAACAGCGUAAUCUUUUUUUUAAGAUCAUAUUUAUAAAAAUGAUUACGACCUCGAUGUUGAAUUAGUUAUUUUUUGGUGGAGAGAUAAAAUU